rnacentral:lncRNA from 1 species
CUGCACUGCCUGAAGAAUAUUUGUCUGUCCGGCCUGACAGGCUGCCACCACGUAUCGAGCAUGCUCCAGGGAUUUUUCUCAGCAUCAGAAAGGACAAAUUCAGAGAGCAGCCUGAAAGAACUAUUCAGACAGCUUGGAGAGGAUGUCUGGCUGAUAUGUUCUUAGGGAGCUGAAGCGUUGGUCCCACAGUCAUUUGGGCCUUGUGUAGACCUGUGCCUUUAAAACAAACUUCAAAAGGAAAAUCAAUACUUGAGGUGGAAGAGUUCAUGCAUUU